rnacentral:rRNA from 1 species
ACAGGGGGGGCAAGCGUUGUUCGGAAUUACUGGGCGUAAAGGGCUCGUAGGUGGCCAACUAAGUCAGACGUGAAAUCCCUCAGCUUAACUGGGGAACUGCGUCUGAUACUGGAUGGCUUGAGUUUGGGAGAGGGAUGCGGAAUUCCAGGUGUAGCGGUGAAAUGCGUAGAUAUCUGGAGGAACACCGGUGGCGAAGGCGGCAUCCUGGACCAACACUGACACUGAGGAGCGAAAGCCAGGGGAGCAAACGGGAUUAGAUACCCCGGUAGUCCUGGCCCUAAACGAUGAAUGCUUGGUGUGGCGGGUAUCGAUCCCUGCCGUGCCGAAGCUAACGCAUUAAGCAUUCCGCCUGGGGAGUACGGUCGCAAGGCUG